AGCGAACGCUGGCGGCAGGCCUAACACAUGCAAGUCGAACGAACUCUUCGGAGUUAGUGGCGGACGGGUGAGUAACACGUGGGAACGUGCCUUUAGGUUCGGAAUAACUCAGGGAAACUUGUGGUAAUACCGAAUGUGCCCUUCGGGGGAAAGAUUUAUCGCCUUUAGAGCGGCCCGCGUCUGAUUAGCUAGUUGGUGAGGUAAAGGCUCACCAAGGCGACGAUCAGUAGCUGGUCUGAGAGGAUGAUCAGCCACAUUGGGACUGAGACACGGCCCAAACUCCUACGGGAGGCAGCAGUGGGGAAUCUUGCGCAAUGGGCGAAAGCCUGACGCAGCCAUGCCGCGUGAAUGAUGAAGGUCUUAGGAUUGUAAAAUUCUUUCACCGGGGACGAUAAUGACGGUACCCGGAGAAGAAGCCCCGGCUAACUUCGUG
rnacentral:rRNA from 1 species